UGGGUGUGUGGCUUUGGGGUGUACACAGGGGGAGGCACUGCCUGGGCGCAUUCACAACAAAGCCCACCUCACUCCCCUGCUGGCUCAAGAAGAAAGAACCAUUAAGCUGGUGAAAAAUUGCUUUUAAUAUAUAUUUUUCAUUAGACGCGGUCCUUCUCUUUCUCUUGUUCCACAAGGAAUCAGUGGAGAAAGCCCCUGAGGGAAGUCCUCUCCUUCCCAUCGGAAUCAAAUUAAUGUAUCCCCAAACCACCAGAUUCCUAUCCCACCUCCCUGAGCCUUUAGAGAAACUUUUGUGGCUGCCACCGAGGAGCAAAUCGCUGGGAAGUGGCAUCACAUUCAGCCAUGGCAGGACACAGCUGCAGAUGCUCUGAUUGUUAACGAAGACAGCUCCCGUCCUAACAGGAAAGGGAGUGGGCUCAGCUCUUUUCUGCUCAGGAGGGAAUGAAAAGAGCCAAACAGCUCCGUGAGCUGCACCUUCCUGGGGCCAGAAGGUGCCCCCCAGCCAUCCAUGCUGCCAGGAGCAUCUCUGCAGCAGGGGGUCACUCAGGGGGUUGGGGUGAUACCACGCACCCAGAGAGCCCUGUGAGGUGGAAGGACAAGUCCGAGUGACCUUGCGUACAGGAGGUACCCAGCUUUCUAAUUGCCAAGCAGGCAGAGAGUGUCCUGGUCUCCCUCCUGAUGCCACAGCAGCCAGGAUGCCCAGAGCCCCCGGCACAGAGCAGGACCAGCCUUAAAGCUGAUGGGGACGGGGAUGAAUCCAGCCCCUGCUGGCACUGAGGGAGGGACAGGAGCAGCGAUCCAGGCUGGAGGCUGGGCAAACAGAGACACUGAUCACUGGAGAGUUUUACAGGGAUAAUAAAGCACAUCAUAAUAAAUGGCCAUGAAUAUUUCAUGGCAGGAGUAGCACUGAUAUGAUGUAUCAUAGAGGAGCAACGAGGUUUUUCAACAUUUGGAUGCAAAUGGAGAGCGUGCUCCAUAUUUUACAGGUUUCUCCCCAGACACGCUAUGUUUUCUGAAAAUCAGAUUGACUGGGCACUUUUGAUAUGAGAAACAACACCAGGGCUCUGAUUAGUUUGAAAACAACAGCAACAACAACAAAACCCAAGCAGUAUCAGAGGAUUGUCAGUGCUAGGGAUGAAAAAAUCAUGUAGAUGAAGCAGCUCAUGUCCCUAAACACCAGGGGACACCAGGUGGGAAUCACUGAAGGGAAAUCAGCUGCAGUGCUGCGUUUGGAGCAGCAUGUGGGAGCAGAAUACAUCCCUAUAACAUCCCUACAAACACCCCCUCCCUGUCGGGAUGCCGAAAUGGUGAAUGGUUGUGGCAUGGCACUGGUACCUGGGAGAGGAGGUGGAAGCCAGGAGCUAAGUCCUUUUUCCUCAUUUGCUCCUCACUGACAAAUACUGGGCUUCUUAGGAUCAGCCUGGGGCAGACGGUGAAGGAACCUCCUUCCUGGAGGGGACCAGCUGAGGUUUUGAGUUUCCCCCGAUCUCACAUACUGGCACCGUGCCUGCCCUCUGAACAGGUUCAUCCGCGGGGACCCCUGCUCCAGCUCCCCCUCGCCUUGCCGAUGGCACACACAGGGGUGCUGUGCCCAGGGACAGCCACCCAGCACCGGGGAGAGCCCCGCAGGAGGCAGCCCCGUGCUCUGGCACACGGCCAGAGGGAGCUGCGUUUCUUGGGGUUUGUUUCUUGCUCUGCCAGCAUAUGUUUCUGCAGGAGCACGAGCAUGUUUCAGGGCAAAUGCUUGCUAAUACAUAAUCCCUUGAUAGCCUAACAUCUCUAUACCAUCCCACACAGGAACACAACCACAGAUGAGCACAGGCAAGUGCUUGCAGCUGCCAAGGCUGAGGCUGUGCCUGCAUCCAGCAGCGCUGGGGAGGGCUGACAGCUCGCCGUUUCCUUCCCUUUGCUGACGCAUUCUGUGUAACAUCAGCCUGCUCCACAAGCACCUUUUGCGUGGUUGUCCCGGUGGAAGUCCUGCCUCCCUCCUUUUAAUGAAUAAGACCACCAGACCCUAACAAAAUGCAGUUGGGUAUUCACAAGCCUGCAUGUUGCCAAACCAGCUUCUAACAGUCUGCUACCCUCUCCUCCCUACAAUGUCUUCUUUUGGCACAGGUGGCAGUGUUAUGGCCUGGAAUGAGACAGGGCAAGAGGAAAGAAGCCUUUGCAAGUGCUUGGUAUGAUUUUGCCCUGGUGCUCAUUCCCCAAAAAGGUUGCUCUAUGUCCUUUCCCUCUUUGGUGUAUUGGUGGGCUUGGGUGCCUCAGGGCCGUGCUGCUGCCUUUCCAGGGGCUCAUUCCAGCUCCCCAAGCAGUGUUACCAAGGUCUCAUUUCACUCCUGGCCACUCAGCUCAGGACACAGCACCUGCACCAGCAGUUGUUUGCACCAACGUGCCAGCGAGCAAGCGGGCCACAGCCCCCAGCGAAGGGAAUCGGCAGGGCAAACCUCUGCUGGGGAGUUCAGCCAGAUGGCAUCUCAGCAGAGCCGGGCCCAUCAAACCGCAAGUACCUCUCCCAAAAACAAACAAAACAAAAAAGAAAAAAGAGAUUAAAUGCACUUGUUUUUAUAGUCUGAGAUUGCACGAUGCUGUGAGCUAAUUCUUCCCAAAUUGGGUGUUGUCAGCUGAUGAAAACUCUUCUGUAAAGGUGUUAAACUCACUGGCUGGAUCAGAAGUAUUUCUUCUUGGAGAGUGCUGAUGAGAUCGUGCCUCGAUCAGCCAAAAUGGGCCUGAUUUUAAUGUGCUUUACUACAAAGCAGUCAUUACAUUUCUCUUUAGGAUUCAAACGAACAUUUUCUCCAUAUUUCAGCUGUGCUGAACUGGCUUUGCAAAGACCCCUCCAGGCAUUUGCUCAGGAACUGGUGAAAUUACCCUGUCUAAUGGCCUCCAGAAGUGAAGGUACCCAAGCAGAAAGUGUGCCACGCAGGUCCCAGGAGCUGCGUGAAGCAAACGGCACGUUGCUUUCUGUGCCAGUCUCAAGGUAGCAGCUGAAGCAUAAACCGGGGAUGGAAAAAGACUUAAUACGCUCACACUCCUUCUUGUUUUGCUUUAGGGCUUUUUUUGUCCAUUUAUUUGCCAGUGCUCCUCCUGGAAAACGCGCGGAUGGGAGGAGAGUUUGUCCGUUUGUCCCAUCUGCUCUGCUCACACCUCGGGUCAGCAGGGCUGGGGCUGCUGGCAGCGAUUCCCAUGCUGAGUGACCCAGGGCCCCAGUGGGGAUGGGGCUGGCUGUGCAAGCAGGGGACCCGCUCCUGCCUCCUCUCUGACUGCAGGACUCCGCAGAAAAGUGCCUCGGGCUCUUGCCUGCUACAGCCAGCAGCGAGCUGGCAGCACGGCCAGGUAGGAUGAGUCCCAAUGAGCUGUUCUAGGCAGCAUUUCCUUCAUGUGGAAAGUGGUAGGGUUAGAUCUGCAGGGAUGGACCAUGCAAAUGCCUGGCUGGGCAAUGGGUGAUUUCUGGCUGGGGCUCUCCUCCUCCCAGGGCACUGCAGGGUGAAGAGCUCUCUCUGGGCUGAGCAACAUGCUCAGGUUUCCUUUGCAAAAGUGUAACAAGAAAGCCCGUUUCAGCCCCAAAAUAGCUAGCAAGCUCCAGGUAACAUUUUCUGCAAAAAUUGAAUCAAAUCAGACAGAAGAUUUCUUGAUUAAAUCUCCCCAAGUACAGAGUUAUAGUUAGGAGCUCAUGGGAGUACUUACAUGUUCUGGUUUGUCACUCAGAAAACAAUUGGGGAAGAGAAGGAGAGACGCUGCUAACUAGCAUCUUGUCACCAGCUGCAAGGCAGCUACAGAGAAGUCAGCACCGUAAAUAUGGGGAUUUGGAGUCGGUGUUGCCCCGUUCCCCUUCACAGGGCUUCUCGCAUUUCCCCCAGAGCAGGAACACAGGUCUGUACCAGGGCUGCGGCCCCUGGCUCUGCAGGGGCUUCUAGACCUGUUGAGAGUUUCAGCACGUUAAUUAUGAAUUGAGGAUGUUAAUUAUGAAUAUCUGUAGAUUUUCACUCAGAGGCUUCUUGACUUGAGGGCUCUGCCCUGGGAGGCGUGGGGUGCCGUGCUGCUUAACCCGGUGCUCCUGCAGUGACUGCCUGCCCAUGGCGAUAUGCCCAGGGGCUCAGAGGGUGAGAUGUCCCAUGCAGGGUGAGAAGAAGGUAGAGAAGCAGAAAGCUAUAUAGGAAGAAAUAGGGACAGUUUUUGGGGAGCACCCCCUCAGUAGAGGGAUGUGGGUGCCACUGUUUUUCGGAGGCUCUGCAGCCCCUCCCCUGGCAGAGGGCAGGGUGAUGGCGGGCAGAGGCAGUGUUCCUGGGAAGGAGGUGUGCAGUCUCACUGCUGAAGGCUUCUUAAUUUUUUUAAAUCAUGUUACCUGCCUAGAUUUGGCAAGUGCUAUCGUGCAUGUGAAAGGGGGAAGCACAAUAAAGCAUCAUCAGAACGAGGGCUGGCUGACUGGGAGCUCCAGCACCAGGCGUGUACAUCUUCUCCCUGCCUUGGUUUACUCAAGAAACUCUGACUUAUUGCGGACCUCUGAGAUUUGCUCUCCAUAUUUUUACAGUGAAUAGCUGUAAAAGCAGUCAUCUUUUUCACUUGUACUGUGUUAAGCACAAAUGAAGCACUUCCCUUCUAAAAGCAUUUUAAGAUGAAAUAAUUAAAAAGCAGGAAAACAA